UGAGCACCCCUAGGCCCGUCACCUGUGUUUCUGCAUUGGCCUGCCUCGGGGCUGCUCCACUCACCCGUGCCCCUGUCCCCAUCUGUGUCUAGAUGUACACCCAGCACCCCGAGCAGUAUGAGGCUCCCGACAAGGACUUCAUGAUCGUAGCACUGGAUCUGCUCAGCGGCCUGGCUGAGGGCCUGGGUGGUCACGUGGAGCAGCUGGUGGCCCGCAGCAACAUCAUGACAUUGCUGUUCCAGUGCAUGCAGGACUCGAUGCCUGAGGUCCGGCAGAGCUCCUUUGCCCUCCUGGGAGACCUCACCAAAGCCUGCUUCAUCCAUGUCAAGCCCUGUAUCGGUACGACACUCGCCUUGUCCCUAACCCAUGACCCCAGC
rnacentral:sRNA from 1 species